rnacentral:tRNA from 1 species
CCCAGCAUGGUGUAGUGGUUUGAGCAUUGGAGUACAACUCUGCAGACUAGGGUUCAAAUCCCUGUUCAGCCA